rnacentral:rRNA from 1 species
AGUGAGCGCUGGCGGUAGGCCUAACACAUGCAAGUCGAACGGCAGCACAGUAAGAGCUUGCUCUUACGGGUGGCGAGUGGCGGACGGGUGAGGAAUACAUCGGAAUCUACUUUUUCGUGGGGGAUAACGUAGGGAAACUUACGCUAAUACCGCAUACGACCUACGGGUGAAAGCAGGGGAUCUUCGGACCUUGCGCGAUUGAAUGAGCCGAUGUCGGAUUAGCUAGUUGGCGGGGUAAAGGCCCACCAAGGCGACGAUCCGUAGCUGGUCUGAGAGGAUGAUCAGCCACACUGGAACGGAGAGACGGUCCAGACUCCGACGGAGGGCAGCAGUGGGGAAUAUUGGACAAUGGGCGCAAGCCUGAUCCAGCCAUACCGCGUGGGUGAAGAAGGCCUUCGGAUUGUAAAGCCCUUUUGUUGGGAAAGAAAAGAAGCAGGUUAAUACCCCGCUGUUCUGACGGUACCCAAAGAAUAAGCACCGGCUAACUUCGUG